rnacentral:tRNA from 1 species
GAGGGUACGGCGAAGCGGUGGAGCGCGUGCUUAGCAUGCACGAGGCCCUGGGUUUGAUCCCCAGUACAUCCA